rnacentral:rRNA from 1 species
CCUACGGGUGGCUGCAGUGGGGAAUUUUGGACAAUGGGGGCAACCCUGAUCCAGCCAUGCCGCGUGAGUGAAGAAGGCCUUCGGGUUGUAAAGCUCUUUCGGCCGGGAAGAAAUCGCUUCGGCUAAUACCUGGAGUGGAUGACGGUACCGGAAGAAGAAGCACCGGCUAACUACGUGCCAGCAGCCGCGGUAAUACGUAGGGUGCGAGCGGGAAGCGGAAUUACUGGGCGUAAAUCCUGAAGACAGGGUUGAAAUCCCCGGGCUUAACCUGGGAACUGCGUUUGUGACUGCGAGACUUGAGUGCGGCAGAGGGGGGUGGAAUUCCACGUGUAGCAGUGAAAUGCGUAGAGAUGUGGAGGAACACCGAUGGCGAAGGCAGCCCCCUGGGUCGACACUGACGCUCAUGCACGAAAGCGUGGGGAGCAAACAGGAUUAGAUACCCGAGUAGUC